rnacentral:sRNA from 1 species
GCUAGGCAUGGUGACACAUGCCUGUAAUCCCAGAGACUUGGGAGGCUGAGGCAGGAGGAUUGCCAGUUCAAAGCUAGCCUGGGCAAUUUAGUGAGACCUUGUGUCAG